UACAGAGGUCCCAAGCGUUGUUCGGAUUCAUUGGGCGUAAAGCGUGCGCAGGCGGUUUUGUAAGCCAGAUGUGAAAGCCCCGGGCUUAACCUGGGAAUGGCAUUUGGGACUGCAAGGCUGGAGUGUGGCAGAGGAGACUGGAAUUCCUGGUGUAGCAGUGAAAUGCGUAGAUAUCAGGAGGAAUACCGAUGGCGAAGGCAGGUCUCUGGGCUGACACUGACGCUCAUGCACGAAAGCGUGGGGAGCAAACAGG
rnacentral:rRNA from 1 species